CCAUAACCGGAAACGGUCCAACGAUUAAAAGCCAGUGGCCUGUGGCUUUUAACUACGCGACAGGAUAAGAUAUAAUCUGAUUGCCUGAGAGUCAUUUCCAGGCACCAAAUGCAUUAAAUCAGUCAUAAUUUAUUUGAUAGUACCUUUACCUGGAUAACCGUGGUAAUUCUAGAGCUAAUACAUGCUAAAAACCUCGACUUCGGAAGGGGUGUAUUUAUUAGAUAAAAAACCAAUGCCCUUCGGGGCUCCUUGGUGAUUCAUAAUAACUUAACGAAUCGCAUGGCCUUGCGCCGGCGAUGGUUCAUUCAAAUCUCUGCCCUAUCAACUUUCGAUUGUAAGAUAGAGGCUUACAAUGGUUUCAACGGGUAAAACAACGUCUUCGUUGCCCGUCAAACAAAUAGCUUGACAUUCUCUUUGACUAAAGAUGUAAGUCAGGUUACGCCGUUGGUUCAGAGGACAUCCAAGUGAUCGAUUCUGAGGUGGUUCUUUUUAACCAUUUAAACGCAUGCCAAGCGGUGGGCUCCAAGCAAAUAGCUGAAAGCUUAAAGUACAUGCUGUCCUUUUCAGGCUGAGAAGGGUUAAACGAACGGGGAAUUAGGGUUCUAUUCCGGAGAGGGAGCCUGAGAAACGGCUACCACAUCCAAGGAAGGCAGCAGGCGCGCAAAUUACCCAAUCCCAAUACGGGGAGGUAGUGACAAUAAAUACUGAUACAGGGCUCUUUCGGGUCUUGUAAUUGGAAUGAGAAAAAUCUAAACACCUUAACGAGGAACAAUUGGAGGGCAAGUCUGGUGCCAGCAGCCGCGGUAAUUCCAGCUCCAAUAGCGUAUAUUAAAGUUGUUGCAGUUAAAAAGCUCGUAGUUGAACUUUGGGCCUGACCGAUCUGUCCUCCUAAUCGAGCGCACGGAUUCGGUUGGGCCUUUCCUUCUGGGGAGCCCUAUGCCCUUCACUGGGCGUAGUGGGGAACCAG
rnacentral:rRNA from 1 species